CCUACGGGAGGCAGCAGUGAGGAAUAUUGGUCAAUGGGCGAGAGCCUGAACCAGCCAAGUCGCGUGAGGGAAGACGGUCCUAUGGAUUGUAAACCUCUUUUGCCGGGGAGCAAAAAGCGGUACGUGUACCGCAUCGAGAGUACCCGGAGAAAAAGCAUCGGCUAACUCCGUGCCAGCAGCCGCGGUAAUACGGAGGAUGCGAGCGUUAUCCGGAUUUAUUGGGUUUAAAGGGUGCGCAGGCGGAGGUGCAAGUCAGCGGUCAAAUUGCGGGGCUCAACCCCGUACUGCCGUUGAAACUGCAUCCCUUGAGUGCGCGAGAAGUAUGCGGAAUGCGUGGUGUAGCGGUGAAAUGCAUAGAUAUCACGCAGAACUCCGAUUGCGAAGGCAGCAUACCGGCGCGCAACUGACGCUCAUGCACGAAAGCGUGGGUAUCGAACAGGAUUAGAUACCCGAGUAGUC
rnacentral:rRNA from 1 species